rnacentral:rRNA from 1 species
AACCAAAUGCUUACAAGCAGUCGGAGCAAGCGUAUUUAUAUGUCUUGUGACGGCGUACCUUUUGUAUAAUGGGUCAGCGACUUAGUUUAUCUAGCAAGCUUAAGCCGUUAGGUGUAGGCGUAGCGAAAGCGAGUCUGAAUAGAGCGUUUAGUUAGAUGAAUUAGACCCGAAACCGGGUGAUCUAGCCAUGGCCAGGUUGAAAGCGGAGUAAAAUCCGCUGAAGGACCGAACCCACUACUGUUGAAAAAGUAGGGGAUGAGCUGUGGUUAGGGGUGAAAGGCCAAUCAAACUCGGAUAUAGCUGGUUCUCCGCGAAAUCUAUUUAGGUAGAGCGUUAUAGCGAUUACUGUCGAAGGUAGAGCACUGAAUGAGCUAGGGGGUCCCACAGACUUACCAAACUCAAUCAAACUCCGA